AGUGGAUGGGGAGCAACCUAGUUGUGCGUGUGUAAAGGUAGUGCCAAGAAAAGCGAUGAUCAUGUUGAAAAUCAAUUCCCGGUACCCGAAACCGACACAGGUGGGCAAGUAGAGAAUACUAAGGGGCGCGAGGUAACUCUCUCCAAGGAACUCGGCAAAAUGACCCCGUAACUUAGGGAGAAGGGGUGCCACCGAGAGGUGGUCGCAGUGAAGAGGCCCAGGCGACUGUUUAGCAAAAACAUAGGUCUCUGCAAACUCGAAAGAGGAGGUAUAGGGGCUGACGCCUGCCCAGUGCCGGAAGGUUAAAGAAGUUGGUCAGUCUUAGGAUGAAGCUAGCGACUGAAGCCCCGGUGAACGGCGGCCGUAACUAUAACGGUCCUAAGGUAGCGAAAUUCCUUGUCGGGUAAGUUCCGACCCGCACGAAAGGCGUAACGAUCUGGGCGCUGUCUCGGAGAGAGGCUCGGCGAAAUAGGAUUGUCUGUGAAGAUACGGACUACCUGCAUUUGGACAGAAAGACCCUAUGAAGCUUUACUAUAGCUUGGAAUUGUGUUCGGGCUUCCUGUGCGCAGGAUAGGUGGGAGGCGUAGAAGGUAUUCUUGUGGGGAUACUGGAGCCAACGGUGAGAUACCACUCUCAGGAGGCUAGAAUUCUAACUUAAUUAAGGACAGUUUCAGGUGGGUAGUUUGACUGGGGCGGUCGCCUCCAAAAAGGUAACGGAGGCGUGCAAAGGUUCCCUCAGACUGGUUGGAAAUCAGUCGAAGAGUGCAAAGGCAGAAGGGAGCUUGACUGCGAGAAGUACAGUUCGAGCAGGGUGGAAACACGGUCUUAGUGAUCCGACGGUGCUGUGUGGAAGGGCCGUCGCUCAACGGAUAAAAGUUACUCUAGGAUAACAGGCUGAUCUCCCCCAAGAGUUCACAUCGACGGGGAGGUUUGGCACCUCGAUGUCGGCUCAUCGCAACCUGGGGCGGAAGUACGUCCCAAGGGUUGGGCUGUUCGCCCAUUAAAGCGGUACGUGAGCUGGGUUCAGAACGUCGUGAGACAGUUCGGUCCAUAUCCGAUGUAGGCGUGAGAAUAUUGAGAGGAGCCUUCCUUAGUACGAGAGGACCGGGAAGGACGCACCGCUGGUGUACCUGUUAUGAUGCCAAUUGUAAACGCAGGGUAGCCAAGUGCGGAGAGGAUAACCGCUGAAAGCAUCUAAGUGGGAAGCCCACCUCAAGAUGAGUAUUCUGGUGUAAGGUCACGGGAAGACGACCCGUAAAUAGGCACGAGGUGGAAGUGCAGAGAUGUAUGAAGCCGAAGUGUACUAAUAGACCGUCGGCUUGAUC
rnacentral:rRNA from 1 species